GGGGCUGUAGCUCAGUGGUAGAGUGCUUGCCUAGCAUGCAUGAGGCACUGAGUUCGAUCCUCUGCACUACA
rnacentral:tRNA from 1 species